rnacentral:rRNA from 1 species
UACCUUGUAGUGGGGGAUAACCUGGGGAAACUCGGGCUAAUACCGCAUAAUCUCUUUGGAGCAAAGCGGGGGAUCUUCGGACCUCGUGCUAUAAGAUGAGCCUACGUCGGAUUAGCUUGUUGGUGGGGUAAUGGCCUACCAAGGCGACGAUCCGUAGCUGGUCUGAGAGGACGAUCAGCCACACUGGGACUGAGACACGGCCCAGACUCCUACGGGAGGCAGCAGUGGGGAAUAUUGGACAAUGGGGGAAACCCUGAUCCAGCAAUGCCGCGUGUGUGAAGAAGGCCUUCGGGUUGUAAAGCACUUUCGGUGGGGAAGAAAUUCUCAAGGGUAAUAUCCUUGGGCGUUGACGUUACCCACAGAAGAAGCACUGGCUAACUCUGUGCCAGCAGCCGCGGUAAUACAGAGAGUGCAAGCGUUAAUCGGAAUCACUGGGCGUAAAGCGCGCGUAGGUGGAUAUUUAAGUCGGAUGUGAAAGCCCUGGGCUUAACCUGGGAAUUGCACCCGAUACUGGGUAUCUUGAGUAUGGUAGAGGGAAGUGGAAUUUCCGGUGUAGCGGUGAAAUGCGUAGAUAUCGGAAAGAACACCAGUGGCGA